AGCACCUUUAAUUCAGUCCCGUGAGACUGGCAAGGUUACGUGAACCGAGGUUCACUGCAUGACACUCGUAUGUUUUGGUACGAGUUGUGAUGUGGCGCCUCUCAUUCAUCGAAUUGUCGAAUGAAUGACUAGUGAACUCCUUGCCUAUGGGCAAGGAGUUUUUUUUGU
rfam:Paenibacillus antarcticus strain CECT 5836 PBAT15, whole genome shotgun sequence.